UACAGAGGUCUCAAGCGUUGUUCGGAUUCAUUGGGCGUAAAGGGUGCGUAGGUGGCGUGGUAAGUCGGAUGUGAAAUCCCCGGGCUCAACCCGGGAACUGCGUCCGAGACUGAAAGGCUUGAAUCCGGGGAGAGGGAUGUGGAAUUCCAGGUGUAGCGGUGAAAUGCGUAGAUAUCUGGAGGAACAUCGGUGGCGAAGGCGGCAUCCUGGACCGGUAUUGACGCUGACGGCGCGAAAGCCAGGGGAGCAAAGCGGG
rnacentral:rRNA from 1 species